UACGAAGGGGACUAGCGUUGUUCGGAAUCACUGGGCGUAAAGCGCACGUAGGCGGAUGUGUCAGUCAGGGGUGAAAUCCCGGGGCUCAACCUCGGAACUGCCUUUGAUACAGCACGUCUCGAGUCCGGAAGAGGUGGGUGGAAUUCCUAGUGUAGAGGUGAAAUUCGUAGAUAUUAGGAAGAACACCGAUGGCGAAGGCAGCCUUCUGGGCCAACACUGACGCUCAUGCACGAAAGCGUGGGGAGCAAACAGG
rnacentral:rRNA from 1 species